GGGGUGCUGGCGCAACGGUAGCGCGUCAGAUUCCAGUUCUUGGAAUUUCCUGAAGGUUAUCCGUUCGAAUCGGGUGCGCCUCA
rnacentral:tRNA from 1 species